AAACCAACAGGGAUUACCUUAGUAGCGGCGAGUGAAGCGGUAAGAGCUCAAAUUUGAAAUCUGGUACCUUCGGUGCCCGAGUUGUAAUUUGAAGAAAGCUGUCUUGGAUUUGGCCUUUGUCUAUGUUCCUUGGAACAGGACGUCACAGAGGGUGAGAAUCCCGUGCGAUGAGGUGUCCAUUUCUAUAUAAGACGUUUUCGAAGAGUCGAGUUGUUUGGGAAUGCAGCUCUAAGUGGGUGGUAAAUUCCAUCUAAAGCUAAAUAUUGGCGAGAGACCGAUAGCGAACAAGUACUGUGAAGGAAAGAUGAAAAGAACUUUGAAAAGAGAGUGAAAAAGUACGUGAAAUUGUUGAAAGGGAAGGGUAUUCGAUCAGACUUGGUAUUUAGUUAUCAUUACUCCUUGUGGGUGGUGCUCUAGCUUUUUACUGGGCCAGCAUCAGUUUUGGUGGCAAGAUAAUGGCAGUUGAAUGUGGCUCCUCGGAGUGUUAUAGCUUCUGCUGAUAUUGCCUACUGGGACUGAGGUCUGCGGCUUGCCUAGGA
rnacentral:rRNA from 1 species